rnacentral:rRNA from 1 species
UACGGAGGGUGCGAGCGUUGUUCGGAAUUACUGGGCGUAAAGGGUGCGUAGGCGGCUUUCUAAGUUGGAUGUGAAAACUCUGGGCUCAACCCAGAGCCUGCAUCCAAAACUGGAGAGCUUGGGUUCUGGAGGGGAAAGCGGAAUUCCUGGUGUAGCGGUGAAAUGCGUAGAUAUCGUCAAGAACACCGAUAGCGAAGGCAGCUUACUAGGCUGUAACUGACGCUGAGGCACGAAAGUGUGGGGAGCAAACAGG